UACGAAGGGGGGCUAGCGUUGCUCGGAAUUACUGGGCGUAAAGGGCGCGUAGGCGGCUCUGUUAGUCAGGCGUGAAAGCCCUGGGCUCAACCUGGGGACUGCGCUUGAGUACGGCGGGGCUUGAGGGCAGGAGAGGCUCGCGGAAUUCCCAGUGUAGAGGUGAAAUUCGUAGAUAUUGGGAAGAACACCGGUGGCGAAGGCGGCGAGCUGGCCUGUUACUGGCGCUGAGGCGCGAAAGCGUGGGGGAGCAAACAGG
rnacentral:rRNA from 1 species